GAGGAUGUGGCUCAGUGUUUAAGAGCACUGGCUGCUCUUCUAGAGGGUCCUGGGUUCAAUUCCCAGCACCCACA
rnacentral:tRNA from 1 species